ACUCCCAACCCAUGUGAACUUACCUUUUGUUGCCUCGGCAGAAGUUAUAGGUCUUCUUAUAGCUGCUGCCGGUGGACCAUUAAACUCUUGUUAUUUUAUGUAAUCUGAGCGUCUUAUUUUAAUAAGUCAAAACUUUCAACAACGGAUCUCUUGGUUCUGGCAUCGAUGAAGAACGCAGCGAAAUGCGAUAAGUAAUGUGAAUUGCAGAAUUCAGUGAAUCAUCGAAUCUUUGAACGCACAUUGCGCCCAUUAGUAUUCUAGUGGGCAUGCCUGUUCGAGCGUCAUUUCAACCCUUAAGCCUAGCUUAGUGUUGGGAAUCUACUUCUCUUAGGAGUUGUAGUUCCUGAAAUACAACGGCGGAUUUGUAGUAUCCUCUGAGCGUAGUAAUUUUUUUCUCGCUUUUGUUAGGUGCUAUAACUCCCAGCCGCUAAACCCCCAAUUUUUUGUGGUUGACCUCGGAUCAGGUAGG
rnacentral:rRNA from 1 species